GCCUUCGUGGUGCAGUGGUCAGCACGCUCGGCGCGUAUUCGAGAGGUCCAUGGUUCGAGUCCCGGCGAGGGCA
rnacentral:tRNA from 1 species